rnacentral:rRNA from 1 species
AAUGGAGAGUUUGAUCCUGGCUCAGGACGAACGCUGGCGGCGUGCUUAACACAUGCAAGUCUAAGGAGAAAGUUCCUUCGGGAGCGAGUAAACUGGCGAACGGGUGAGUAACGCGUAGGUAACCUACCCUUAAGCUCGGGAUAACCCACCGAAAGGUGAGCUAAUACCGGAUAAUAUCUUUCCUCAUAAGGGGUAAAGAUCAAAGGUGGCUUCGGCUAUUACUUAUGGAUGGGCCUGCGUCUGAUUAGCUAGUUGGUAGGGUAACGGCCUACCAAAGCAGUGAUCAGUAGCUGGUCUGAGAGGGCGAUCAGCCACAUUGGGACUGAGAUACGGCCCAGACUCCUACGGGAGGCAGCAGUGGGGAAUUUUGCG